rnacentral:rRNA from 1 species
ACGCUAGCGAUAGGCUUAACACAUGCAAGUCGAGGGGCAGCAUGGUCUUAGCUUGCUAAGACUGAUGGCGACCGGCGCACGGGUGCGUAACGCGUAUGCAACUUGCCUCACAGAGGGGGAUAACCCGUCGAAAGACGGACUAAUACCGCGUACACUCUAUGUUGGGCAUCCAAUGUAGAGGAAAUGAAAUUCGCUGUGAGAUAGGCAUGCGUCCCAUUAGCUAGUUGGUGAGGUAACGGCUCACCAAGGCGACGAUGGGUAGGGGAACUGAGAGGUUGAACCCCCACACUGGUACUGAGACACGGACCAGACUCCUACGGGAGGCAGCAGUGAGGAAUAUUGGUCAAUGGGCGAGAGCCUGAACCAGCCAAGUCGCGUGAAGGAUGACUGUCUUAUGGAUUGUAAACUUCUUUUAUACGGGAAUAACAAGAGUCACGUGUGACUCCCUGCAUGUACCGUAUGAAUAAGCAUCGGCUAACUCCGUGCCAGCAGCCGCGGUAAUACGGAGGAUGCGAGCGUUAUCCGGAUUUAUUGGGUUUAAAGGGUGCGUAGGCGGCCUGUUAAGUCAGCGGUGAAAUCUAGGAGCUUAACUCCUAAAUUGCCAUUGAUACUGGCGGGCUUGAGUGUAGAUGAGGUAGGCGGAAUGCGUGGUGUAGCGGUGGAAUGCAUAGAUAUCACGCAGAACUCCGAUUGCGAAGGCAGCUUACUAAGGUACAACUGACGCUGAAGCACGAAAGCGUGGGUAUCAAACAGGAUUAGAUACCCUGGUAGUCCACGCAGUAAACGAUGAUAACUGGGCGUAUGCGAUAUACAGUAUGCUCCUAAGCGAAAGCGUUAAGUUAUCCACCUGGGGAGUACGCCGGCAACGGUGAAACUCAAAGGAAUUGACGGGGGCCCGCGCAAGCGGAGG